UAAUGCGCGUGUGCAGUAUGUUUCUGCUCUUGCGGGUGAUAUUGGAGGCCGGAAAGAGCUAAAGAGAACGGGCGGUGGGAGAAAGAAAGAAAGAAGCUCCCUGAAGAUGGGGAGAAGGGACACCUGCUGGGAGAGAAAGGUGUAAAAGAUCAGGUAGAAGAUUGAAGAGAAAGGAUCCAUCAUCACUACCAUCAUCCCAGGAAGCAAAAAAACUGACUCACUAGAGAAAUGUAACAAGAUUUCUGGGUCCUCUCAAGAUUCAAACUGUGGCCUGAGACUAUAGAUUUAAAACGAGUCAUCUGUGUGAUUCCUAUGACAACUAAUUUUUUCCUGUUUGGGUGCAAAAAACCCUGAAGCAAGGUAUACUCACACAUGGAUUGAGGUUUUAUAGGGUGAGCUCAAUUGAGAGAAAGAAGGAACAGGGAGUAGAAAGUAUUUGCAAAGGAGUACUAUGCCGAUGAUAACAGAAUCUGUGCUGAAGAAGACAAAGUGAUGAGAGGGGAUUGAUGGAUAACAAGAAAGUGGCAGGAUAAAGGGAUCAAAUGCCUCCACAUCACUGAAGAACCAUGUGGUUAUAUGGAAGUACUUGUAUCAAUAAACUGCACAGCUAUGCAGGAGGAAGUUAGAUCUUUCUACUUGAAAAGGUUCAUUUUUUUAAAAGAUGUAAAGAUCCUACGUGUCACCAUAAAACAAGUGACUGAAGGGGCAAAAGGUAAAUGAGAGUGGAUUAUGGAAAUCAAGAAAUUGAGAAGCUGGGGCUUUUUGAUGGGUCAUCCACUUAUUGAAAUCACCGAGGAUAAAGGUCAGAAACCAAACGGAAUAGAAGACUUUUCUGGGAACAGAAGACUAGUGAAUGAGGAGGUGUGACUAGGAGG